UUGGCAUCAACUCUUGUUCAAAGUGAACAAAGGUUAGUUUGAUUAAAAUUUCAUCUAUCUCUUUUUUCCAUGCAUAAUUGGCUUAUAUGAAGCCUUUAUAACAAAGUUGGUGGUUACUAGCCACCUAACCAACUACUCAGUAAAACUAAUAAUGGAAAUUAAAGAAACUCAUGAAACCACACAAAAAAAACGUCUGACACACUAAUGAAUGAAAAAAAGCGUCCAUGCUCCAUUAUAUAGCAAAAAGAAGCAAUAAAGUGUAACCUAAAUCCACCAAAGAGUAUCAACAAUGGCUAGAAGGCUUGAUGAACCAAAAAGUAACGGUUUUGAACACUUAUUAAGCCUUUAAAAUGUUGCCCUAGCCUUCAUGCGACCCUAAUUAUAUACGUAGGUUAGCAUGCACAACCCAACCAUUGAGUACAAACCACCUUCUAACCUACAAGUAAUCACUAAUCCAUCACCUUUUUCGGCUUUUCAUGAGCCAUGCAUGGAUCCUCCCCUCCCUCUUUGAAAGGAAAUGACCUUAAUUCAUCAAGGCCAUCCUCAACAAGAUACGGUGAAAGGUCUCCCACAUUAAAGGUAGCAUGCACUCCAUGGUCUCGUCCCAGAUCAACCUUAUAAGUAUUAUCAUUGACAUGUGUCACCACUUUGUAAGGACCUUCAGCUCUUGGCAUCAACUUUUGUUCUUCCUUUUGUUAGCAAAACGUUCUUUCCUCAUAUGCGCCUAAACCACGUCACCAUCUUGUAAGACACGUGGUUUCCUAUGCAUGUUGGAAUUAUGUUUGUACACGUCAUACACAGCUUCAAUCUUCACACAAACUUGUUGGUGUAGUUACAUCAUGGCCUUCAAAUUGUCAUUUGCAUCCUUGUGAACCAAUUCACCAUUUGGAAAUGGAAUGAAAUACAAAGGCUUGUAAGGAUUCACACCAUACACCACUUACGUAGGCUUAUAAGGACCUUCAGCUUUUGGCAUCAACUUUUGUUUGGAAAACGUUCUUUCCUCAUAUGCACCAACACCAAAUCACCAUCUUGAAAGACACGAGGUUUCCUAUACAUGUUGGAAUUCUGUUUGUACACGUCAAUCACGGCUUCAAUCUUCACACUAGCUUGUUGGUGUAGUUUCGUCAUGGCCUUCAACUUGUCAUUAGCAUCCUUGUGAACCAAUUCAUCGUUUGGAAAUGGAAUAAUAUACAAAGGCUCGUAAGGAUUCACACCAUACACCACUUACAAAGGCUUGUAAGGACCUUCAGCUCUUGGCAUCAACUCUUGUUCAAAGUGAACAAAGGUUAGUUUGAUUAAAAUUUCAUCUAUCUCUUUUUUCCAUGCAUAAUUGGCUUAUAUGAAGCCUUUAUAACAAAGUUGGUGGUUACUAGCCACCCAACCAACUACUCAGUAAAACUAAUAAUGGAAAUUAAAGAAACUCAUGAAACCACACAAAAAAACGUCUGACACACUGAUGAAUGAAAAAAGUGUCCAUGCUCCAUUAAGGAGCAAAAAGAAGCAUUAAAGUGUAAUCCAAAUCCACCAAAGAGUAUCAACAAUGGCUAGAAGGCUUGACGAAGCAAAAAGUAACAGUUUUGAGCACUUAUUAAGCCUUUAAAAUGUUGCCCUAGCCUUCAUGCGACCCUAAUUUAAUACGUAGGUUACCAUGCACAACCCAACCAUUGAGUACAAACCACCUUCUGGCCUACUAGUAAUCACUAAUCCAUCACAUUUUUCGGCUUUUCAUGAGCCAUGCAUGGAUCCUCCCCUCCCUCUUUGAAAGGAAAUGACCUUAAUUCAUCAAGGCCAUCCUNGUACUAAAAAGUAACUUAGUACCAACUUUCCUCCACAAAGUGUUCCAAAUGUAACUCAAAAACAAGGAAUCCCUAUCAGAAACAAUAGUUUUACGAAUAAUAUGCAAGCGGACCACUUCUUUAAAGUACAAAUCAGAAAGAUUAGAUGAAUCAUUGGUUUUAUGACAUGGCAAAAAGUGAGCCAUUUUUGAAAACCUAUCCACCACCAAUAUAAUGGAUUCCUUCCUCCUUUGAGUUCUAGGCAAAGCCAUACUGAAUUCCAUCGACACAUCUUGCCAAGGACGAAUACGAACCGUCAAAGGAGUGUAAACACCAUGCUUGAAAGUUUUUUCGUCAUCCGACAUGUAACACACUUCCCCACUAUGUUGGUUACAUCCCUAACAUCUUUAGGCCAGAAGAAAUGUUCUUAAAGCACCUUCAAAGUUUUGGUAAUGGAAAAAUGACCCGCCAAACCACCACCAUGAGCUUCACGAAUCAGCAACUCCCGUANUAUUGAAUGUUUAGGGACACAAAGAUGAUUGCCUUUUGAUACCUUUAUGGGCUUGAUUAAGCGAGUAGGGUUUUGUUUAGGUAAAUUAAGCUAGAAUAACAACCACAAAUGGUAGGUGUAUAGGAAAAAAUGGAUAGAUUAGUAAAAAAUCAAGACCUACUAAGUUGUAUACUCGUGAAAACUAUCCAAGAAAUAAUAUUUGUUUGAAUGCGUAUCAAUUCAAGAACACAUCUCGACUAUGACAAGUAGUGAACUAUAACUAUAGUUCAAAGUGAACAAAGGUUAUUUUGAUUAAAAUUUCAUCUAUCUCUUUUUUCCAUGCAUAAUUGGCUUAUAUGAAGCCUUUAUAACAAAGUUGGUGGUUACUUGCCACCCAACCAACUACUCAAUAAAACUAAUAAUGGAAAUUAAAGAAACUCAUGAAACCACACAAAAAAACGUCUGACACACUAAUGAAUGAAAAAAGCAUCCACGCUCCACUAAGGAGCAAAAAGAAGCAUUAAAGUGUAACCCAAAUCCACCAAAGAGUGUCAACAAUGGCUAGAAGGCUUGAUGAAGCAAAAAGUAACAUUUUGAGAACUUAUUAAGCCUUUACAAUGUUGCCCUAGCCUUCAUGCGACCCCAAUUCUAUACGUAGGUUACCAUGCACAACCGAACCAUUGAGUACAAACCACCCUCUAGCCUACUAGCAAUCACUAACCCAUCAACUUUUUCGGCUUUCCAUGAGCCAUGCAUGGAUCCUCCCCUCCCUCUUUGAAAGGAAAUGACCUUAAUUCAUAAAGGCCAUCCUCAACAAGAUACGGUGAAAGGUCUCCCACAUUAAAGGUAGCAUGCACUCCAUGCUCUCGUCCCAAAUCAACCUUAUAAGUAUUAUCAUUGACAUGUGUCACCACAUUGUAAGGACCUCAGGGCUUGGCAUCAACUUUUGUUCUUCCCUUUGUUAGCAAAACGUUCUUUCCUCAUAUGCACCUAAACCAAGUCACCAUCUUGUAAGACACGUGGUUUCCUAUGCAUGUUGGAAUUUUGUUUGUACACGUCAUUCACAGCUUCAAUCUUCACACAAACUUGUGGGUGUAGUUACAUCAUGGCCUUCAAAUUGUCAUUUGCAUCCUUGUGAACCAAUUCAUCAUUUGGAAAUGGAAUCAAACACAAAGGCUUGUAAGGAUUCACACCAUACACCACUUACGAAGGCUUACGGACCUUCAGCUUUUGGCGUCAACUUUUGUUCUUCCUUUUGUUUGGAAAACGUUCUUUCCUCAUAUGCACCUAAACCAAGUCACCGUCUUGAAAGACACGAGGUUUCCUAUACAUGUUGGAAUUCUAUUUGUACACGUCAUUCACGGCUUCAAUCUUCACACGAGCUUGUUUGUGUAGUUUCGUCAUGGCCUUCAACUUGUCCUUAGCAUCCUUGUGAACCAAUUAAUCUUUUGGAAAUGGAAUAAUAUACAAAGGCUUGUAAGGAUUCACACCAUACACCCCUUACAAAGGCUUGUAAGGACCUUCAGCUCUUGGCAUCAACUUUUGUUCUUGCUUUUGUUAGGAAAACAUUCUUUCCUCAUAUGCACCUAAACCAAGUCACCAGCUUGAAAGACAUGUGGUGUCCUAUGCAUGUUGGAAUUCAAUUUGUACACGUCAUUCAUGGCUUCAAUCUUCACAAGAACUUGUUGGUGUAGUUUCAUCUUGGCCUUCAACUUGUCAUUAGCAUCCUUGUGAACCAAUUCAACGUUUAGAAAUGGAAUCAAAUAUAAAGGCUUGUAAGGAUUCACACCAUACAUCACUUAUAAAGGACAGUAACCUGUAGCAUAAGUAGGAGAACGAUUACAGGCAAACUCAGCAUGUGCAAGUUUGAUGUCCAACUGUUUAGUAGUUUUGCUAACCAACCCCCUCAACAACAUACCCAAAGUACAAACUUUGGGUAUGUGGAUGAUGGGACGCACUAAAAAAUAACUUAGUACCAACUUUCCUCCACAAAGUGUUCCAAAUGUAACUCAAAAACAAGGAAUCCCUAUUAAAAACAAUAGUUUUAGGAAUAAUAUGCAAGCGAACCACUUCUUUAAAGUACAAAUUAGACACAUUAGAUGAAUCAUUGGUUUUAUGACAUGGCAUAAAGUGAGCCGUUUUUGAAAACCUAUCCACCACCACUAUAAUGGAUUCCUUCCCCCUAAGAGUUCUAGGCAAAGCCAUACUGAAUUCUAUUGACACAUCUUGCCAAGGAUGAAUAGGAAACGACAAAGGAGUGUAAACACCAUGCUUGAAAGUUUUUUUCGUCAUCCAACAUGUAACACACUUGCCCACUAUGUUGGUUACAUCCCUAACAUCUUUAGGCCAGAAGAAAUGUUCUUAAAGCACCUUCAAAGUUUUGGUAAUGGAAAAAUGACCCGCCAAACCACCACCAUGAGCUUCACGAAUCAACAACUCCCGUAUUGCAUGUUUAGGGACACAAAGGUGAUUGCCUUUUGAUGCCUUUAUGGGCUUGAUUAAGUGAGUGGGGCUGUGUUUAGGUAAAUUAAGCUAGAAUAACAACCACAAUUGAUAGGUGUAUUGGAAGAAAUGGAUCAACUAGUAACAAAUCAAGACCUACUAAGUUGUAUACCCGUGAAAACUAUCCAAGACAUAAUAUUUGUUUGAAUGCGUAUCAAGUCAAGAACACAUCUCGACUAUGACAAGUAGUGAACUAUAACUAUAAUUCAAAGUGAACAAAGGUUCUUUUGAUUAAAGUUUCAUCUAUCUCUUUUUUCCAUGGAUAAUUGGCUUAUAUGAAGCCUUUAUUACAAAGUUGGUGGUUACAAACCACCCAACCAACUACUUAGUAAAACUAAUAAUGGAAAUUAAAGAAACUCAUGAAACCACACAAAAAAACGUCUGACACACUAAUGAAUG
rnacentral:lncRNA from 1 species